UGAGGAAUAUUGGUCAAUGGACGAGAGUCUGAACCAGCCAAAUCGCGUGAAGGAAGACUGCCCUACGGGUUGUAAACUUCUUUUGUACAGGAAUAAAAGACAUUACGUGUAAUGUAUUGCAUGUACUGUACGAAUAAGCAUCGGCUAACUCCGUGCCAGCAGCCGCGGUAAUACGGAGGAUGCGAGCGUUAUCCGGAUUUAUUGGGUUUAAAGGGUGCGCAGGCGGGAUUUUAAGUCAGCGGUGAAAUUUUCAGGCUCAACCUGAACACUGCCGUUGAAACUGGGAUUAUGGAGUAUGGAUGAAGUAGGCGGAAUUCGUUGUGUAGCGGUGACAUGCUUAGAUAUAACGAGGAACUCCGAUUGCGUAGGCAGCUUACUAAGCCAUAACUGACGCUCAAGCACGAAAGCGUGGGGAUCAAACA
rnacentral:rRNA from 1 species